rnacentral:snRNA from 1 species
GGGUGUGAGGGCAAUCGGUCCGUGACAUUUGUCACCCCACUGAUGGCCAGAGGUGAUCUGGCUGGUUAGGUGGGUGUCCCUUCCUCCCUCGUUGCUCCAUGUGCAUCCCUCCUGAAACUACAUGCUUGGUUAGCUAGGAGGACCACCCCUGAGCAGGGAGGAGCAUUUCCUCUGUCCAAGGUAUAUGAGUAGCUGUGUUUCCCUGCUAGAGCCUCCAGACAAGCUGUCAGAAGAACCUCUGCCAAGACCCUGGUCAUUGUACAGGGUCAGGAAACCGGAGCACAGAGGCCAGGAGAAAGCCUGGGUACACUGGUGACUGCAA